GCGCUCACGACUCAGUUCACCCUGAGAAGCCUGGGAGGCAGGGAGAGACUGGAUGUUCUUGGGAGGGAAUGGCUGUCCUUGCAUCAGGUUCCCACACUUCUUCUGUGCCUUUCCAUGCCUGACCGAGGCAGGUGGCGAUCCCUACUGUUCCCUGAUCUCUGCAUGUUGAGCAUCGUGCACCCAUCAUCUCCUUUCACUCUGCAACAACCCUGCCAGCCGAGCUGCUCUCUCAUUUACAAAUCAGGAAAUCGGAGUUCAGCAAAGUUCAGCCGCUUGCACAAGGUUGCUCAGCAGCACGUGAGUGCCUCAGCUCGACACGUCUCUGAUUCUUACAUCUUUGCUCUGGCUUCUUACAGAACCCAGUUUCUUCAAAAAGGAGCUGAUCACACCCCACCAGCCCUGCCUGCUCCUGUGCACUUAACAUCCAGUGUUGUCACGGAUUAUUUAUGCUUCUAAUUCGUCUAUUCCUGAAGACAAAGACAGGCUCUCUCGGUAUUGGCCUCCUUGUCUAGCACAGACUCUUACAGAAUGCAGGCUGCAACAUUUAAAUAUUUGUCGAAUACAUGGAGGCUAUGAGCUUUGUUAGGAAAGUAGUCUCUUCGAGUGCUUAAGGGCCUGGCGUCAGGAGCAGAACUACCUGCGUUUUAAACCAGUUGCUGCUACUUACUAGGUGCCUGACGGUGGCAAAGUUCAUGACCGAUCUCAUCACGUGAGUCCUUCAAAGUGGAGAAUCAUUCCUGGCUGGGUCAGACAGGGGCAGGAGGAGUGAUUCAAAGUGUGAGAGGGACUUGGCCCACCCACCGAUGUUGGCUUUGAAGAUGGAGGAAGGGGACCAGGAGCCAAGGACUGUGAGUGGCCUCUAGAAACUGAGAAUGGCCCCCAGAUGACAACCAGCAAAAAACAGUGACCUUGGUCCUACAACCUCAAGGAGUUGAAUUUUCCUACAACCCGAAUGAACAAGGAAACAGACGGUCCCCUAGAGCCUACAGAAGGGAUUGUGGCCCUGCUGACACCUUGAGCUUAAGCUGGUGAGACCCACAUUGGACUAAUAACCUACAGAAUUGCAAGAUAAAUUUGUGUUGUUUUAAGCCAUUACAUUUGUGGUAAUUUGUUGUGGCAGCCAUAGAAAAUGAACAGUUUCCAAAUGGCGGAAGCUGAGGUGGUGCUCAGAACCUGUCACCCAUGGUUUGCCGAUGUCUACAGGUGCUGGCAGUUAAUAGGACGUAAUGACACCAAAUUGAUGAGAGUGAGGGGAUGAGGGAGAGCCAAUGUGGGCUGCCACACUUCUCAGUGAACGAAGUGGAGACACACACACGUGCACACACAAAGUAGGGAGGGACAUGACAGCAGCAAUCAGACAUAUUCUUCAUUUUGGAAACCAACUAGGUAUGAUUUCAAAAUUCACCAGUGGAUAGCAGUAAAUGGAUUUAUCAUCCAAACCCCAGGAUUGUUAUGAGGGCUGUUUCACUAGCAGAUGGAAAAUGGGCUGUCUUAUGGACACAGUCUUACAUUUUGCUUGGUUGGAUCAAAUUUCAAAUAGUCAUUUAUAAAGGACAUGUGUAGUGAGAGAAGACAUAUCUGUUGUUUUAGCCACCAAGUUUCACUUUUCCUUCUGCC
ensembl:lncRNA